rnacentral:rRNA from 1 species
GGUGAACGUUGGCGGUGCGUCUAAUACAUGCAAGUCGAGCGAGGCUUCGAGCCGAGCGGCCGACGGCUGAGUAACACGUUGGUAACUAUCUCAAACUCAUGGAUAACGCCGAGAAAUCGGUGCUAAUACCGGAUGGUUCCGUAAUGGUAAAGUUUUUACGGUUUGAGAGGUGCCUGCGUCCUAUCAGGUAGUUGGUGAGGUAACGGCUCACCAAGCCUAUGACGGGUAACUGGUCUGAGAGGAUGACCAGUCAGAGGGAAACUGAGACACGGUUCCCACUUCUACGGAAGGCAGCAGUAAAGAAUCUUCCACAAUGGACGAAAUUAUGAUGGAGCGACACCGCGUGAAGGAUGAAGGCACUUGGGUCGUAAACUGCUUUUUUGGGGGAAAAAUUCUGAUUGUACCCUAAGAAUAAGCACCGGCAAAUCACGUG